rnacentral:tRNA from 1 species
UGGAACGUAGCUCAGAAGGAAGAAGCAGUCGAAUAAGUCGACAAGGGCGCAGGUUCGAGUCCUGCCGUUCCAA